UACGUAGGGGGCAAGCGUUGUCCGGAAUCAUUGGGCGUAAAGAGCGCGUAGGCGGUCCGGUAAGUCCGCUCUGAAAGUCCGGGGCUCAACCCCGGGAGGCGGGCGGAUACUGUCGGGCUAGAGUCCGGAAGAGGCGAGUGGAAUUCCUGGUGUAGCGGUGAAAUGCGCAGAUAUCAGGAGGAACACCAAUGGCGAAGGCAGCUCGCUGGGACGGUACUGACGCUGAGGCGCGAAGGCGUGGGGAGCAAACAGG
rnacentral:rRNA from 1 species